rnacentral:lncRNA from 1 species
GGCAGCCUGGCUCCAACAUCCCAGGGAAUUGUGUCACUCCCAUUGAGCAGCUGUGGGGCCCUCUCCCACAUGGCCCAGGUCCACCACUCUGUCAAAGGUCGCACAGCCCAGACAAAAACAGGACACAGCAGUGUGUGAAUGAGCCGGGCUUUCUCCUUCCCUCCACGUAAUAGAAGGUGCCUGAGGUUGUUGAAACACAGUCCAUUUCUCCUGGGAAUGACAAGAAUUUGAGGGAUGCUGACUUUCAAGGAAUACUGCAUGACAGGCAUCAAGAUAAACCUGAUGAAGAAAACAUAGGCCAGAAUCUGGGAAUCGGGAGCAAAGUAAUACAGCUUCGGGGACAGGCACGUAAUGAGGUCAUGAUGUAGGAGACUCCCUGCAGGACUGGCGGCCCCUGUUCCCUGGGUUGUUCUGGCUCUUUCAGAACCUGACCCUGGAACAGGACUGAGCAGGUGCCUGUGUGCACAGAAGACCUUGUGUGAGUCCUUUGGUACCACGUUUGCUGCACGAAUGUCUGAGACACCUCACAGUCGCUUGGUUCAGCCUCUCCCUCCUCUCUCCGCUGGGGAACAUCAUCCCUCAUCACUGGAAGAAAUUACAAGGAUUGUGUAAACAAUUACAAGUAUUCUACAAACAGUGAGCAUGCUGGUUUGGCCCAUCUAUUUGUAAGAAAAAACAUGGGGUUUUAUGGCAAUGAGUUACAGCUCUGAACUCCUGGCACAAUCACAAAUAUCCUCAGCACAAAACACCAAGUGUAUGUCUCCCUUCUGUCCUAAAAGGGUAGUGUGUGCAACUCAUUGAUGGGGCUCCCAUUUCAUUUUUGAAAGAUCUGCUCACUGAUAAUACCAGUGAGAUUGUUUUCACCAAGAUCUAUGACAUACAAAUAAACUGUUGCUUCAAAAGCAUCUAGCGGCCAAUUGCUGAUCAUCCAAGUGACAAAAAGCUAACUACUUCAUUCCUAAUUAUUACUGCACACUGCUCACAAGCAUCUCUCAAUCCGUUACCAAUUUUAUCCUUGACUCCUGAUGAAACACAAAUCUCUUUGAUCAGGUUAUCACAUGGCAUAGGUGCAAUGGUGGUUGCUUCAGGGGAAAUAAUUUAAUUCAAGUACUUUGCAGUUUGCUAGGUGCCCUGGGGCAUAGUAUUCUUUGGGCCUCCUAAGGUUCUGAUGGUGAUGAACUGAUUUAACGUAUAGAAUAGUUUUUAAAUGUGAAGUGCUACAGGGACCACUAUGCAGGGAGCUGAAGGGCUAUUGAGCUGGACACUUGAGCAUUGGCUGCAUUGAAUGAUAAAUAUUGCACAAUAUUUCUCUUCCUCAAAAUAGAAAAUGACAAUGGAAAACUUUUAAUAAUGUCAACAUUGGUGACUAGAAAUACAUAUGUGCCUCCUUAUGAAAGCAGGGGUGGUGACUGAAUAGAAUUGUUUUGUUUUUAGAGAACGAUGUUUUUCUUUUUGUUUUUUCUUCUUUUAUAGUAUUUUACUUAAAAAUCCAAGUAAUAGUAUUCUACUGUAUUGCCUUGAAGAAGUAAAUUGAGAAAAGUCAGAACACUUAUGUAUUUUUAUUUAAAAACGAACGUUUUAGUCAGCACCCAAUGCAACAAAAGCAAACUAGAAAUUGCAUGUCAGCAAUAAAAUAACCAGGUUCUUAGAAGGGCGGCCUAAGUCAGCUCUACAGAUUCUCACCUUUGCUGAUUUAGCCGCAUGGAACCUAAUUAAUGGGUAGAUUAUACAUUUGCUCAACAAGUAUUAAUGGAGGUACUUGAAUGAACUGACAGGGCCCAGCCUUAUGCAGUGGUCCUCAAAGGCUUGUUCAUAUCUUGAUUUGGACAUCAAAAGAGAAGGCCGUCGCAGGAAAUCGGAGACCUUGAGCCUUUACAUGUCCACCUCAGAGACUAGACGUAACUGCCUGCUAGAAAUAGUGGCGUGAGGAAUGCGAAAGGGAGAAGUUGUUUGAAGGAUCUCAGACUCCAUGCCGUGUACUUUGAAGAUGAGCUUUAGAAAUUGCACAUCAAUAGUUACUGCAGAAGGAGCAAUAGGAACUGAGAACAUCUCACGCGGCUUAGUGCGACCGAUAAACACCAGCUGAAGCUUGUGUCCUGCACAAUAAACCUUAUUUGCUGAUCUCUGAAGGUGCAAAGCAGGGCACUACUGCUCAGCAGCCUCUGAUGACGGCACCGCGGCUCACACCUAUAAUCCAAGCACUUUGGGAGGCAGAGGCAGGCAGAUCACCUGAGCUCAGGAGUUCAAGGCCAGCCUGGCCAACAUGGUGAAACCCUGUCUCUACUAAAAAUACAAAAAUUAGCUGAGCAUGGUGGUGGGCGCCUGUAAUCCCAGCUACUCAGGAGGCUGAGGCAGGAGAAUAGCAUGAAGCCGGGAGGCAGAGGUUGCAGUGAGCCAAGACAGCGCCAUCGCACUGCAUCCUGAGCAAGAGCGAAACUCUGUCUCAAAAAAUAUAUGUGUGUGUGUGCAUGUGUGUGUGUGUGUGUGUGU